CUCUACAACAGAGAAUGAAAGAAUGACCUGGGAGUGGGGAGACAGGAGGCCAGAGGCACAGGUUUCCAGAUGUUUGUAUAAUAACUGUGAAUUUUCAUGAUGAUACUAACAAGGAUAACUGGGUAGUAGCAAUGUGCAAGAAAAGAAGUGUAAAAUCUAGGGCUAAGACUGAAAUACCAGAUGGGAAGAGGAUCAUAAAUUUCUGUUAUAUCUGUAUCUAGAUCUGCAGGAGGACCUAUGAGUAAGUAGAAGCAUGGUUAUGAAUGGGUUCUGGAGCCUGCUUGCUAACAUAGGCUUGUUGCUGUGGACAUUAUAAGGGUUCACUUUUAAUCGCUGUCAGCUAGCAUGAUAUCACAAAUGCCAUAAGAAAAUAAAUAUAUAGUCUUAUGAGGAUGGCUACA
rnacentral:lncRNA from 12 species